ACUCCUACGGGAGGCAGCAGUGGGGAAUAUUGCACAAUGGGGGAAACCCUGAUGCAGCCAUGCCGCGUGUGUGAAGAAGGCCUUCGGGUUGUAAAGCACUUUCAGUAGGGAGGAAGGUAGUGUAGUUAACACCUGCACUAUUUGACGUUACCUACAGAAGAAGCACCGGCUAACUCCGUGCCAGCAGCCGCGGUAAUACGGAGGGUGCGAGCGUUAAUCGGAAUUACUGGGCGUAAAGCGCAUGCAGGCGGCCUGUUAAGUCAGAUGUGAAAGCCCGGGGCUUAACCUCGGAAUUGCAUUUGAAACUGGCAGGCUAGAGUCUUGUAGAGGGGGGUAGAAUUUCAGGUGUAGCGGUGAAAUGCGUAGAGAUCUGAAGGAAUACCAGUGGCGAAGGCGGCCCCCUGGACAAAGACUGACGCUCAGAUGCGAAAGCGUGGGGAGCAAACAGGAUUAGAUA
rnacentral:rRNA from 1 species